rnacentral:tRNA from 1 species
GCCGAGGUGGCGGAAUGGCAGACGCGCUGGUUUCAGGUACCAGUGGCCGCAAGGUCGUGUGGGUUCGAGUCCCUCCCUCGGUACCA